UACGUAGGGUGCAAGCGUUGUCCGGAAUCAUUGGGCGUAAAGCGCGCGUAGGUGGCUUCGUAAGUCCGUUGUGAAAGUCAAAGGCUCAACCUUUGAAUGCCGAUGGAUACUGCGGAGCUAGAGUACGGAAGAGGCGAGUGGAAUUCCUGGUGUAGCGGUGGAAUGCGCAGAUAUCAGGAGGAACACCAAUAGCGAAGGCAGCUCGCUGGGACGUUACUGACACUAAGGCGCGAAAGCGUGGGGAGCAAACAGG
rnacentral:rRNA from 1 species